rnacentral:piRNA from 1 species
UGGAGUCACAAUGCCUACACUGGAAC